rnacentral:rRNA from 2 species
ACUCCUACGGGUGGCAGCAGCUAAGAAUAGUCCGCAAUGGGGGAAACCCUGACGGUGCGACGCCGCGUGGGUGAUGAAGGCCUGACGGUUGUAAAGCCCUUUUCUCAGCGAAGAAUAAGGUGAGGAGUGGAACGCCUCAUCGAUGACGUUAGUUGAGGAAGAAGCCCCGGCCAAUUACGUGCCAGCAGCCGCGGUAACACGUAAGGGGCGAGCGUUGUUCGGAAUUAUUGGGCGUAAAGGGCGCGUAGGCGGUGCAGCAAGCUUGGUGUAAAAGGCUCGGGCUCAACCCGAGGAAUGCGCUGGGAACUGCUGCGCUAGAGUCUUGGAGGGGAAGCUGGAACUCCUGGUGGAGGGGUGAAAUCUGUAGAUAUCAGGAAGAACACCGGUAGCGAAGGCGAGCUUCUGGCCAAAGACUGACGCUGAGGCGCGAAAGCGUGGGUAGCGAACUGAAUUAGAUACUCAGGUAGUCCACGCCCUAAACGAUGGACACUAGGUGUGGGGGGCAUCGACCCCUCCUGUGCCGAAGCUAACGCAUUAAGUGUCCCGCCUGGGAAGUACGGCCGCAAGGCUAAAACCCAAAGGAAUUGACGGGGGCCCGCACAAGCAGCGGAGCGUGUGGUUUAAUUCGACGAUACGCGAAGAACCUUACCAGGCCUUGACAUUAGUCGGCCCGCGCCAGAGAUGGCGCUUUCCCGCAAGGGAUCUGCUAACAGAUGCUGCAUGGCUGUCGUCAGCUCGUGUCGUGAGAU